CGGGUGAGUAAUGCGUGACCAACCUGCCCCAUGCUCCAGAAUAGCUCUUGGAAACGGGUGGUAAUGCUGGAUGCUCCAACUUGACGCAUGUCUUGUUGGGAAAGUGUUUAGUGGCAUGGGAUGGGGUCGCGUCCUAUCAGCUUGUAGGCGGGGUAAUGGCCCACCUANGGCUUCGACGGGUAGCCGGCCUGAGAGGGCGGACGGCCACAUUGGGACUGAGAUACGGCCCAGACUCCUACGGGAGGCAGCAGCA
rnacentral:rRNA from 1 species